rnacentral:lncRNA from 1 species
GAGGGACACUUAUAUCCAUAUCCUUUGUGAGCUACCCUUGACAGCAGAGUAUUCUGCAGUUGGUCAUAUUCAGUGAUGAUGUACUCCUACAUCUCACUUAUAUGCCAUAUCAGUAUCUUCACACUAUUUGGUUACAAGGAUAACUAAUGUACAUAGCAUACAACGACCUACACAUGAUAUCACUAUCAUCCUAGUAAUAGC